rnacentral:rRNA from 1 species
GACAGAGGGGGCAAGCGUUGCUCGGAAUCACUGGGCGUAAAGGGCGCGUAGGCGGGAUGGCAAGUCAGUCGUGAAAUCUCUCGGCUCAACCGAGAAACGUCGGCUGAUACUGCCGUUCUUGAGGGAUGCAGAGGAGACUGGAAUUCCCGGUGUAGCGGUGAAAUGUGUAGAGAUCGGGAGGAACACCGGUGGCGAAGGCGGGUCUCUGGGCAUCUCCUGACGCUGAGGCGCGAAAGCUAGGGGAGCAAACAGGG